AAUCAACGCUGGCGGCGCGCCUAACACAUGCAAGUCGAACGAGAAAGGGAGCAAUCCCUGAGUACAGUGGCGUACGGGUGAGUAACACGUGGAUGAUCUACCCUCUAGUGGGGAAUAACCUUGGGAAACCGAGGAUAAUACCGCAUAAGCUCGAGAGAGGAAAGCAGCAAUGCGCUGGAGGAGGAGUCCGCGGCCGAUUAGCUAGUUGGCAGGGUAAAAGCCUACCAAGGCAUAGAUCGGUAGCCGGCCUGAGAGGGCACACGGCCACACUGGCACUGAAAACACGGGCCAGACUCCUACGGGAGGCAGCAGUGGGGAAUCUUGCACAAUGGGGGAAACCCUGAUGCAGCGACGCCGCGUGAGCGAUGAAGCCCCUUCGGGGUGUAAAGCUCUUUCGGCAGGGAAGAUAAUGACGGUACCUGCAGAAGCAGCUGCGG
rnacentral:rRNA from 1 species